UCUUUCCCACCUCUUACCCCAGCCAUGUAAUUUGCACAUCGUUUUAUAUUUUCUGUUGGGAAAUCACAAAGCAUCUAAAAGGCAAGCAGUGGUUCUCAAGCUGCAGCCAAAGAGGAUCAGCUUGUUUUACUCAGGUGAAACCAGAACCCAGGCUGGAGCCUCGCAGAGAGGAGGGAUUUGGAAAAUACUCCUUGAGUGGAAUUAAGUGAUUUGUUUAAAGAAACACCAGAGGCUUUCGCACAAUCCCUUUUUCCUGAAGCCAACUCUACUGAGGAUGUGAUGUGGAGAUGUCCGGGAAGCUGGUGUCGGUGGCGGGCUGUGUUCUCAGGCCCAGGGACGCUGUGGCAGGGGCUGGAUGGGAAUGCAGCAGCUGUUCUGAUUGCCUUUCAGUGACACCAUAGAGAUUAUUUUUCAGCUUGCUCCUCUGUGAGGAUCAACUCUAUUGAAGUAUCUAAAGUACCUGGCACAGGGUCCUGCACAUACACCUCAUUUAAAUGAUCAAGUACAUACUAAGCAGCUCAUGUUCAAUUCUGAAAACUGUCCUGGGCCUGGGCCAUGUGUUCGGAGUGUGGAGAAGAGGGAGCCAGUAGUCCCCUCCCCUGGUCAGGGGGCCUGGGUCUGCGCCAGAGAACAGAAGGGCCGGCAGCCAGGCCUCUGUCCCCAAGAGCUGGGGCGCACAUUAAAGCCUGUCAUGGCUCAGGAACUGGGCCCGCUGCGCCGGGCAUCUGGAUGUUCCUAGAUCUGUGUCUGGAUUCCUUCUGCUUGUCUUGUGGAAUUACUUAUCAGCAGCAGGCAGACCAGACCCUGGGCUUUCCUCCCCAUGGCCCAGCCCCAGGCCUUCCUAUCCGUAAACACUAGUGCAGGGGAUGGGGAAGUUGCUUCAGGACCUGUGGAUGAGGCUUCCCUGUGUGCUCCUCGGCCCCCUACGGCAGCUGCUGCUGUCUCUGUACAAAAGCAGGACCUCCAGCCUGUGCCCAGCUGCCCUCAGCAACCUGCAUCUUCAGAUGAGAGAUGUGUAGGAAUCAGAAGGGAAUUUCAAAAUUAUUUGAAAAGUGUGACUGUUGAGGGCUGUCACUUGUAUCUACUCCCUGGACCAUUUUCCCCCCAUAAUACUCCUGUUAUCACCCCCUUCCCUCCAGGGUUGAUUCCACUUUCUUUGGUUAGACCCAUGGUGACAUCCCUUUGCGCUUGUGAAUCCGAG
rnacentral:lncRNA from 1 species